AAUCUAAGUCAAACUCAAAUCAUGUCUAAUCAAAAUAAAUCUCAAUUUAAUUUGAUUGGGACUCAACUGUAAUUAUUUGAUCAAAUCAAAUAAUAUAGCAAUAAUUACAAAUAAAUCCUCUUUUAACUCACUAACUAUUAGUGAGUCCUCUAAUGUAACUUUUACAAAUCAAUCCGAUCAUCAAUCAUAUUGACAAUAGAAUCCUUCUACGAUUCAAAAUCAUAAUUCAACUAUUCAAUCAAUCAGGAUCUCUUACAUGUGUGAUCCUAUAGAUUCUAUUAU
rnacentral:lncRNA from 1 species